GUGCCAGCAGCCGCGGUAAUACGGAGGGAGCUAGCGUUGUUCGGAAUUACUGGGCGUAAAGCGCGCGUAGGCGGCUUUGUAAGUUAGAGGUGAAAGCCCGGGGCUCAACCCCGGAACUGCCUUUAAGACUGCAUCGCUUGAAUCCGGGAGAGGUGAGUGGAAUUCCGAGUGUAGAGGUGAAAUUCGUAGAUAUUCGGAAGAACACCAGUGGCGAAGGCGGCUCACUGGACCGGCAUUGACGCUGAGGUGCGAAAGCGUGGGGAGCAAACAGGAUUAGAAACCCGCGUAGUCC
rnacentral:rRNA from 1 species